UUUCACUGUGGGACAGCCUGUCUAUCAGCUCCUGGGGAAACUCCACUUCCUUUAGGGAGGAGGGGAGAGAGAGAACAAACAAGAGAUGAAGGUUAGGGAUGAGUUGGUUCAACCCCAAAUCAAGGUAUUUGUUUGGUGCUUUGGGCUCCACAAGCCAGUGCCAUGCAGCUCCAUUAUGCUGAAGAGAACACAGAUGUUUCUACAGCCGAUAUUCUACAACAUGUGGCAACUCACAUCAACACAAUCUAGAUGGAUUGAUAGCACUACAGAUGCUGCUGCACAGUAAAUCUCGCCAUAAAGACGCUGCGGAGAGGACGUUCUCUGAAUGAGGCGAUGACUCCUGUUCCCCCCUCCCCCCCAUCCAACUCCCCCAUCCAUCCCCCCCUGGGCCACACAGAGUUCCCAGUGAGAGAUGUGUAGGAAAAACAAGGGGGGAAAUUUCCUAAGAAUGUGGUGGAUAUGAGUUGCAUUGCCUUUGGGGAAUGAGGACUGUCGGCUCUUAUCAGCUAUUUCCAUUCUGAGAGGGAGCGAUCACUUUGGGGAGUCUUGACCUUGGGAGCAAAAAUAUCUUAAAGCUGGAAUGGGGAGAUUUUACUACUGGGCAAAUUGCAGCUGAGUGUAGUUUAGAUCUGCUUUAUAGUCAGAAUAAACUAAUGAAGAUUA